ensembl:lncRNA RRP7BP ribosomal RNA processing 7 homolog B, pseudogene
CGGGUGGCAAGAUGGUGGCGCGCAGGACGAAGCUCGCGGCGCGGGACCCGGAGGACGGUAUCCCGAGCCCACCGUGCUACGCAGCUAUUCCAAUCAAGUUCUCUGAAAAGCAACAGGCUUCUCACUACCUCUAUGUGAGAGCACACGGCAUUCAACAAGGCACCAAGUCCACCUGGCCUCAGAAGAGGACUCUUUUUGUCUUCAAUGUGCCCCCAUACUGCACAGAGCAGGAGAGCCUGUCCUGCCUCCAGUCCACCUGUGGCCUUGUCCAGUCUGUAGAGUUGAAGGAGAAGCUGGAGCUGGCUGGGAGUCAAGGUCGAAGUUUUUUCAUCCAAAGCCAGUUCCGGGUUUCCAGGUAGCCUACGUGGUGUUCCAGAAGCCAAGUGGGGUGUCAGCGGCCUUGGCCCUGAAGGGCCCCCUGCUGGUGUCCACAGAGAGCCACCCUGUGAAGAGUGGCAUUCACAAAUGGAUCAGUGACUACGCAGACUCUGUGCCCGACCCUGAGGCCCUGAGGGUGGAAGUGGACACGUUCAUGGAGGCAUAUGACCAGAAGAUCGCUGAGGAAGAAGCUAAGGCCAAGGAGGAGGAGGGGGUCCCUGACGAGGAGGGCUGGGUGAAGGUGACCCGCCGGGGCCGGCGGCCUGUGCUCCCCCGGACUGAGGCAGCCAGCUUGCGGGUGCUGGAGAGGGAGAGACGGAAGCGCAGCCAAAAAGAGCUGCUCAACUACGCCUGGCAGCAUCGAGAGAGCAAGAUGGAGCAUCUAGCGCAGCUGCGCAAGAAGUUUGAGGAGGACAAGCAGAGGAUCGAGCUGCUGCGGGCCCAGCGCAAAUUCCGACCCUACUGAGCCGUGAGAGCCGCAGUGGAUGGCUGGAGGUGCAGGGCCAGGAGGAACAUGAGGACAUUUUCAUCGCCCCCAAAGAAAUCGCGAACCUCUGAGCUUACGCGGACACACACACACCCCACCCCACCCCCCGCCCCCCGCCCCCAACAGGCUUCCGGUCCUGAGCAACCAUGACCUGGCUUUGUCUCUGCAGUGUGCCCUAUUUGGACUUGACUUGAACGUGAAUGCAGCCAUACAACACGUAGACGGUUGUGUCUGAAUUCGUCCACUUAGCGCGAUGUUUUAAAGGCUCAUCCAUGCUGGA